rnacentral:rRNA from 1 species
CCUACGGGAGGCAGCAGUGGGGAAUAUUGCACAAUGGGGGAAACCCUGAUGCAGCAACGCCGCGUGAGGGAUGAAGUAUUUCGGUAUGUAAAGCUCCAUCAGCAGGGAAGAAGAUGACGGUACCUGAGUAAGAAGCCCCGGCUAAUUACGUGCCAGCAGCCGUGGCAAUACGUAGGGGGCAAGCGUUAUCCGGAUUUACUGGGCGUAAAGGGAGCGUAGACGGUGAGACAAGUCUGAAGUGAAAGCCUGGGGCUCAACCCCAGGACUGCAUUGGAUACUGCCUGACUGGAGUACUGGUGAGGCAAGCGGAAUUCCUAGUGUAGCGGUGAAAUGCGUAGAUAUUAGGAAGAACACCAAUGGCGAAGGCAGCUUACUGGACAGUAACUGACGUUGAGGCUCGAAAGCGUGGGGAGCAAACAGGAUUAGAUACCCGAGUAGUC